rnacentral:rRNA from 1 species
UAAUCAUUAGUUUUUUAAUUGGGAACUGGUAUGAAAGGUCGAACGAGAAAAAAACUGUCUCAAUUUAAUUUUAAUUAGAAUUUUAUUUUUAAGUUAAAAAGCUUAAAUAAUUUUAAAAGACGAGAAGACCCUAUAGAGUUUUAUAUUUAAAUAUUUAUAUAAAAAAUUAAAGAAUUAUUAUUUUUUAUAGAUAUUUAAGUAUUUAAUUGGGGCGAUUAAAAAAUUAAAAUAACUUUUUUAACAAUUAAACAUUGAUUUAUGAAUAAUUGAUCCAUAUUUAAUG